rnacentral:lncRNA from 1 species
GCAAGAUCAAGGGCCACAGGCCUUCCCCAAAGGUCUCUGAAGGAAUUAGAAGUGGCCCUUUCCAUCAGAGACAGAGAGAACCUAAGGCAUCGGUUUACGUGCGUUGGUAGAGAAUCCCCUUUUCCCAGUGUCUUUAGCUGGGAUUCUCUUUAAAGGCAGACUCUGAGACAAGGAUUUGGAUGCAAGCAGUUGAUUUGGAAGGUGAUUCCUGGAAGCUCAGUCACGAAAUGGGAAAGUAAUCAAGGAAGGGGAUAGAGAAGCAGAGAAGAAGAGUCUUCAAGACAUUAUCAUAUGAGUAGUCUGGAAAUCUGCCUCCAUAUAGCAGAUUGGAAUGAAGAGACCAAUCACGUACAGAAUGGACAAAAAGAAAUGCAUAAUAAAUGCAGUGGAAGUGUUUUUAAGACCUAGUGACCAGAACAGUUCAUGCUGGAUGAUGGAGGUCAGGUGUGCAAUAAAGGAACCCAUUGGAGAACUCAGAAGACUAAGGGUAAGAGCUGAAAUCUUGGGGCUUCUUGCACCAUCCCUGUACCUUCUGCCUGCUCACCCUGCUGUUUUACCCUCGAGUUGUGAUGGUGAAGAGCAAACCCAAGGUGGUCCAGGAAUACAGCACUUAAGAAGAUCUCAGAUUAAAGAAAAUGGGGAUUCAUGUGAUUUUGAGGGCACCCCAAACAGGCCCUAGAGUAACCUGGAAAAAGUGACUGGAGUACACGGAGACCCACAUUCCUGGGGUUCUGCAACCAGAGAGUUCCACUGAUGCAAAUAGGGGCACACACAGCAUAAGAGAGAUUGGACAAGGUAGGAAGUGGCUCCUGAAGAUCACAAGCAGGCUUUGGGUCAAGAUAGCCUACAAUAGGCUUCCCGAAACCAGUGUUGCAAUCUUGGGUGGGUAGGUGAGCCACUCUGCUGAGCCUGUUUUCACAUUUAUAAAAUAGAAAAUGAUGAUAGUGUCUGUCCUGCUUAACUCACAGGAUGUUGUAAAGCUCAACUGAGAUAAUAUAUGAUAAAACACGUGGAACGCAAAAUAUGAAACACUGUAAAAAUAUAAGAUUUCAGGUAUGAUACCAGCAUGGAGAGGCAUAAACAAGAAGGGAAACGUUGAACCAGCAUGCAAAUCAGAGGACUGGAUGAAUAAAUACCUAUGUGAUUGAUAUCAUGGUUAAUUUUCAGACACAGCAAGGGACCCUAAGAUAGUCUAGGAAGACGUUUUCCUUCUCUACACUGGUAAAUUACUCAAAAACAGAGGCAUCAAAUUGUUUUUCUCACAAACGUCUGGAUAUUUCAAACCUUACAGAACCUUGAAAGGAAUAGGCUGACUCAAAUGUUGGCCUCCCACGUGGGACACAGGAGCUUUUGAAACAAGACUUGAGUCUCAGCUUCCAGACACAGGAGAGCAGGGAGUGGACCCACUCAGCCGUCCAGAGUUUGACAUUCAAACUCUCCAAAACUGUCAGUUCUCAGAAACCGGUCUUUCUUUGGUAGCAAAGAAGAAAUCACGCAGCUGGGAGUUCAAAACAAUUUAGAAAAAAAGUAUAAUCAUAGUGAUAAUAGCUCUAUCACAUUUUUGUAAAAUGAUCCCUAACACUUUCAGCCUCUCAUGCUUUCC